AAUAUAACAUUAGAUUAGAGAGACCCUCCCCAUGUUCUAGACCUAACAAAAAUCAGAGAAAGACCGAAAACAAUCAGAAGCUCCCUUUUCUAAAAAAAACAGAGUAACAUCAACCCAGCUCCCUCUUCAACAAAGAGCCAGAAACGGACCCUCCCUCUUUAGCAAGAAAAAGCCAACGCCUUCCCCUCCCCAUUCUUAUCAUUCUCUUUCCAUCAAAUUAAAAAGAAACACACACAAGAGAAAUGGUCAAAUUCAAAAUAAAAAUGAAAGAAAAAACAAAAAAAUAAAGGGUUUGAACGUUGUUUGAAUUUCUGCUCUUUGGCUUCAAGUUUUCUGAAAUUUCGAGUGCCAUUUAGGUUGAAGAAGCUUUGUUUGGUCGACGGAUCUGUUGCUGAUGUUUUGCUGAGUCCGUAUGCUGUUUGUUUCAACUGAGCUCCAUCUUUCAUGGAUUUGCCUUUAGUUGGUCAUUUGGAUUCCAUUUGCGAAUAUUAGUUUGAAUCUGGUAGUUUACCAGGAAGAAUAUAGUCUCCAGUGGUGUAAGACUCCUGCAAGUGAUGAAAUGGAUACCAUGUAAAAGAUAAGAGAUGACGAGAUAGGAUUCUGUUUUUUUUUUGCUAAACGUGUGACAAAAUCAUACAGUAGACAUAUAAUUGAUACCUUAGUAAUGGCUUAUGGGAAUAGUAGGUUAACUUCUAGGAUGACUUUCACAUAUAAUAAGACAGUGUUGCAUUUAUGAAUAAGAUGAUCUUAUUCAUUUCCUUGCGUA